GGCAUUGGGUUCUGCAACUCCUCAGCUGUUGUUCCAUCCUCUGGAAAGGUGUCACCGUGUUGAUUUAUAAACAUAAGGAACCAAACGCCUCUUGCAGACCUGCUGGGAGCUGUGAAGCAUGGAAUUAGCUACAGUCCCCAUCUCCGGGGCAUCUCCGGCAUCAGCAGAGGGAGGAUAUUAACCUGAAAUGAGACAUUUUUCACUUCACUUGAAUCUCUUCUAAACGUACCAGACAAUCUGGCCUCAGUACUCAGGGAGAAGGAUGGCACCCGACUGCCUCCAUCACCAAGGUAACAUACGUCUGGGCAACCGGCAUAUGAAAGUCACUCUUCAGAACUAAACACAACUAAGAUUAGCUAUAAGGAAGGGAAGGAUCUAUUUUCACUUCUGAGAAAAAAUAUUUUCAGCUAUCAGACAGCUUUCUUUCUGGAGGACAGAUCUCAUCCUUCUUGAUCUCCAAGAUCUGAGGAAGGUACAUGACUGCUGCAGACAACGAAUGGCUUUUUUCUUUAGAACACCUUUGACAUACCUACACCAUUUCUCUACACGGAAAUACUUUGCAAAAUGGGUGUUCCCUGGAGACUGCCAUUUAUCUUAGUAAAAGAUGUAAUAGUGAAGACUUGAAACUGGUAUCCCUUUCCACAAGGACUGGGGGUGGACAUCUCACCCUAAGUCCCACAGCACAACAAGGUUGGAAUCUUGCUCAGGGUCACUUGGGCUGCCAAGUCUGAGCACUCAGAGGUGACACAAGAACCACAGAGGAUGCUGGGCAUGAGCUGAAAGACAUGCUACAAAACUCCAUGGCUUCGGAAAGUUUGGGAGGGAAGAAGUAGAAGAAAAGGAUAGGACAAAACUACACAGUUGACAAGGAAUUCUAGUAUAUCCAAAAUAUUUUCAUGCUUUGAGUGAUACGAACAGAUAGAUUUUUUCAUUUAAUGAAAUUGUUUCUCUGUUUUUUUUCCAGCUGCCUUUCCUAACUGCUUGUUUACAGGCUGAAUUCCACUGUAAAAACAUCAGGCUAGAGCACUUAAAGACACCAAAUAAUGCUUCUGAGAACAGGUAGCUUUACAGAGUCCAGAAGGAAAUAGCUGAAGACUAAAAUGUUUGGUUUAUUCUUCAAGAGUGGGGCAUAACAAAAACAGAUGGAAACAAUUUGGAUAGCAAACUUCUUAUAUACAUCUCAGCAUCUCUGUAACCUCCGCGUUCACCUUGAGUACAAAUUGCCCCAGCAACUUGCA